AUUGAACGCUGGCGGCAGGCUUAACACAUGCAAGUCGAGCGCGUGGCGGACGGGUGAGUAAUAUAUGGGGAGUGCCCGAUAGAGGGGGAUAACUACUGGAAACGGUGGCUAAUACCGCAUACUAUUGGAUGACGCAUAUGGGAUUAGCUAGUAGGUGGGGUAAAGGCUCACCUAGGCGACGAUCGCUAGCUGGUUUGAGAGGAUGACCCGCCACACUGCGACUGAGACACGGCCCAGACUCCAACGGAGGCAGCAGUGGGGAAUAUUGCACAAUGGGAGAAAGCCUGAUCCAGCCAUGCCGCUUGUAUGAAGAAGGCCUUAGGGUUGUAAAGUACUUUCAGCGGGGAGGCGUUACCCGCAGAAUAAGCACCGGCUAACUUCGUGCCAGCCGCCGCGGUAAUAC
rnacentral:rRNA from 1 species